rnacentral:piRNA from 1 species
UGGGUCGACAUAGACUGGUCAUAUGCUGUC